CUAAACAAACUCGGAGAUAGCUGGUUCUCCCCGAAAACUAUUUAGGUAGUGCCUCAUGUAUCACUUCCGGGGGUAAAGCACUGUUAUGGCUAGGGGGUCAUUGCGACUUACCAACCCAUGGCAAACUCAGAAUACCGGAAAGUGCAAUCAUGGGAGACAGACAGCGGGUGCUAACGUCCGUUGUCGAAAGGGAAACAACCCAGACCGCCAGCUAAGGUCCCAAAUGAUAGAUUAAGUGGUAAACGAAGUGGGAAGGCUUAGACAGCCAGGAUGUUGGCUUAGAAGCAGCCAUCAUUUAAAGAAAGCGUAACAGCUCACUGGUCGAGUCAUCCUGCGCGGAAGAUGUAACGGGGCUCAAAUCUAUAACCGAAGCUGCGGAUGCACCUAGUGCAUGGUAGGGGAGCGUUCUGUAGGCCUGAGAAGGUGUUUCGUAAGGAAUGCUGGAGGUAUCAGAAGUGCGAAUGUUGACAUGAGUAGCGAUAAAGCGGGUGAAAAGCCCGCUCGCCGAAAGCCCAAGGUUUCCUACGCAACGUUCAUCGGCGUAGGGUGAGUCGGCCCCUAAGGCGAGGCAGAGAUGCGUAGUCGAUGGGAAACGGGUUAAUAUUCCCGUACUUGAUUUAAGUGCGAUGUGGGGACGGAGAAGGUUAGGUCAGCAAACUGUUGGAAUAGUUUGUUCAAGCUAGUAGGUGGAAGAAUUAGGCAAAUCCGGUUCUUCAUAACACCGAGAAGCGAUAACGAGUAUCUACGGAUACGAAGUGACUGAUACCACGCUUCCAGGAAAAGCCACUAAGCUCCAGCUUAAAUCGAACCGUACCGCAAACCGACACAGGUGGGCAGGAUGAGAAUUCUAAGGCGCUUGAGAGAACUCGGGAGAAGGAACUCGGCAAAUUGAUACCGUAACUUCGGGAGAAGGUAUGCCCUCUGAGGUGAAGGAUUUACUCCGUAAGCUUUGGAGGGUCGCAGAGAAUCGGUGGCUGCGACUGUUUAUUAAAAACACAGCACUCUGCAAACACGAAAGUGGACGUAUAGGGUGUGACGCCUGCCCGGUGCUGGAAGGUUAAUUGAAGAUGUGAGAGCAUCGGAUCGAAGCCCCAGUAAACGGCGGCCGUAACUAUAACGGUCCUAAGGUAGCGAAAUUCCUUGUCGGGUAAGUUCCGACCCGCACGAAUGGCGUAACGAUGGCCACACUGUCUCCUCCCGAGACUCAGCGAAGUUGAAAUGGUUGUGAAGAUGCAAUCUCCCCGCUGCUAGACGGAAAGACCCCGUGAACCUUUACUGUAGCUUUGCAUUGGACUUUGAAGUCACUUGUGUAGGAUAGGUGGGAGGCUUAGAAGCAGAGGCGCUAGUUUCUGUGGAGCCGUCCUUGAAAUACCACCCUGGUGACUUUGAGGUUCUAACCCAGGUCCGUAAACCGGAUCGGGGACCGUGCAUGGUAGGCAGUUUGACUGGGGCGGUCUCCUCCCAAAGAGUAACGGAGGAGUUCGAAGGUUACCUAGGUCCGGUCGGAAAUCGGACUGAUAGUGCAAUGGCAAAAGGUAGCUUAACUGCGAGACCGACAAGUCGAGCAGGUGCGAAAGCAGGACAUAGUGAUCCGGUGGUUCUGAAUGGAAGGGCCAUCGCUCAACGGAUAAAAGGUACUCCGGGGAUAACAGGCUGAUUCCGCCCAAGAGUUCAUAUCGACGGCGGAGUUUGGCACCUCGAUGUCGGCUCAUCACAUCCUGGGGCUGUAGUCGGUCCCAAGGGUAUGGCUGUUCGCCAUUUAAAGUGGUACGUGAGCUGGGUUUAAAACGUCGUGAGACAGUUUGGUCCCUAUCUGCAGUGGGCGUUGGAAGUUUGACAGGGGCUGCUCCUAGUACGAGAGGACCGGAGUGGACGAACCUCUGGUGUACCGGUUGUCACGCCAGUGGCAUCGCCGGGUAGCUAAGUUCGGGAAGGAUAAGCGCUGAAAGCAUCUAAGCGCGAAACCUGCCUGGAGAUGAGACUUCCCUUGCGGUAUAACCGCGCUGAAGAGUUGUUCUAGACCAGGACGUUGAUAGGUGGGGUGUGGAAGCGCGGCAACGCGUGCAGCUAACCCAUACUAAUUGCUCGUGAGGCUUGGCUCU
rnacentral:rRNA from 1 species